UACGGGGGGGCAAGCGUUGUUCGGAAUUACUGGGCGUAAAGGGCUCGUAGGCGGCCAACUAAGUCGGACGUGAAAUCCCCAGGCUCAACCUGGGAACUGCGUCCGAUACUGGAUGGCUUGAAUCCGGGAGAGGGAUGCAGAAUUCCAGGUGUAGCGGUGAAAUGCGUAGAUAUCUGGAGGAACACCGGUGGCGAAGGCGACAUCCUGGACCGGUAUUGACGCUGAGGCGCGAAAGCCAGGGGAGCAAACGGG
rnacentral:rRNA from 1 species